rnacentral:lncRNA from 1 species
UCUUGUGUCACAGAAAUCUACUCAUCUUGCACCUCCCAAGUAAUGGAGUCUAUAUUGAAAUUUCAGUGACGAAAACAUGACUUAUGCAAUCAUUUUCAGGUCAGCAUAUUAUGAAACUGGAGGCUUGUAGCUGCUAUUUCUGUUGUUAUUUCAGUGAACUUAUAACUCAAGAAAUCCAUAUUGCUCAAUACCUUCUCUCCUCCCUUCCCUCCGCUAAGCUUUAUAAUCAAGACAUAACCAAAUGAUAGAACUAUUUGAGGUAGCCUCAAAUAUUGAAUCCAGUUCUGUGUUUAUAAUAAAUGGAAUUCUUGCAGAUUUUUUAAGUAUAGUAUGUGUAGCAGCCACAUAACUAAUAUGUAAUACCAGUUAUACAUAUUCACCUAAAAUAUAAAGGCAUAUCUCCCUUAUAAUUUGAUUUGCAUUUAAGUUUGUCAUUUUUUUUCCAAAAGAUUGUUCUUAUUUACAUUCUUUAUAUAUAGCACUUGCCAAUUAUAUGUAUUUGUGAAGUUCAGAAAGAAUGUCAGGAAUGCUUAUUCUCAGUAUUACAAAUUAGACUUUUAUUUAAAUUUCAGUCUUUCAGUAUCACCCCUCUCUAACAAAAGGGUAAGUCAUCAUUGUGAUCGUAAGUUGUCUUUCUUCUAACUUAGCUCUGAAGCCUUGGGCACAGUAACAUCUGAUGUCUGUUGCACCAUGCUGCCCAGUUAGUUCCCUGUCCUCCAUCAUCCUGUCGGCUUUAGGUAGAAGAAGUAUGGAACCAGAGAAGCAACUUCAAUGUCUUCCAUUGGCUUCCCACCAACUCUUCUAUUCCCAAAGUUAUUUCCUGCCUAAUUAUGUGGAUACUCUUGGGACCAAAAAUGUUAGAGCUAUAACACAUUUUGGUGUCAUUGUCAUCCUGUUUUAUGUGCCAUGGUGACUUUAAUAUAUGUGUGUGUGUGUGUGUGUCUGAUAUAGAAAUCCAUGAUUGAUCAGUUACAGAAAAUAGAGUCUUUAAAAACCAACUAAUAUUGUCAAAGCAAUUGAAAGAUCUUUAUUUCACAUGUCAAUUUUGACUCAUGGUGACCCUUUGUAUGUGGUAGUCACAGCAUUGGUUUUUCUCUGCACUGGGUCAGAGGCCUUUGCUGGGACAAAGGACCAUUCUGCCAUAUGUCUAAUACUAGAGCCCAGAGUGCCCAUAUGAUCAGAGGAAAAAAGGAAAGAGAUAUUUAUGAAAUGAAGCUAUUUUUUUCAUGCAAUUCUACCAUAAUAAAAUGUAUAUCUUUAUCUGAAAUAUAUACCCUAUUUAUAACUAUCAGAAUUGCUGGGAAGAUAUUGGAAGCAGGUCCUCUAUAGCUAAAAAUGCAGUUAAGCUCUCCAGGUACCCAGGAACUCAGCGCUUCAUCUUUUUCCUUAUUAAAUUGUGUUUAAAAAAAAACAAAGCAAGCAGGGAGUGCUGUAAAGAGCAAAGUUCUACAAAUGUUGCUGGCUACUAGAAUCUACAAUUUCCAUUGAAUAAGUUGUUUGUUUUUUAGGGAUUUUAGACAUUAGCACCAGAGAAAAAUCAACAGGGCACCCAUCUGAUAGCCUGAGUUCCAGCACUUCCAGUCUACAUCUUUUGUAGGUAAUUUACCUUGUUGUGAAUCAGAGCAUUUUAAACAGCUCAUGUAGUGUAGCUGGCAACUCAUUCUCCUCAUUAUCUUCCCAGAGUAUUAUUUUUAAUGAACUAUGUACAUAUGUUUCAUAGUAAAAUGGGGACACCCCAGCAAAUAAUAACAAACAAAAAUUGUUUCCAAGUAAAAUGUGUCUGUAUUUCUUUUUUCUGUAAUUAUUUUUAUUAGCACAUUCAUCACAUGUAGUGUUGGAUUUCAUAAAAAGCAAUUUAAUCAAGCAUAUCAUGUAUAUUAAACAUAUUCAUCCAUCCAACAAAACCUCCUUCCAUGCCUUCUUCCUUCUAUUUGUCUCAUACCUUUUCCUAUUCUCCCAUUUGCUCUCAUAUUAUACAUAUGUCUAUAUGUACAUAUCUCUGUGUAUGUACACACACACACAUGCAUACACACACACACACAUAUAUAUACACACACACAGAAGUAUGUAUACAUGAUCAUGUGGCUUUACAUAAAAUCUAGUAUGUUCUAAUGAAAAAAAAUAGCUGAGUUUGGCUUAUUUUGCUAUUUAAUGAAUUAAUGACCUCUGUUGCUUUUAUUUCCCAGGAAAAGCCUUAAAUUUCAUUCUUCUUUAUGGC